rnacentral:lncRNA from 1 species
CACACUUUCAUUAACAGCACAACUUAUAGUAUAUUUACAAUACUAUUCACAACAUACUUGUCUCACACCUAUCUAUACUAAGACAGGGUUUACAAAAGGGAUGGGAUCUCAGUCCACAUCCGGGUUAUAUUCAAGAUCCCUCUCUGGAUCAUCUUCUUCUUCAAAAGUCUUUCUCCCCUUCAAGUUCCUCUUCCUUAGCUUCUCCUCAGGGUCCUGAAAUGGUUAUUCAAUAACCAAUGAGACCACGUCUCAGCGAAUCCUACCCCCUAAGACUCGAUUAGAAAGCCAAUACACUAUAGGCUGCCUAA